rnacentral:rRNA from 1 species
UAUGAAGCUUUACUGUAGCUUAGAAUUGAAUUUGAGCUUUUCUUGCGCAGGAUAAGUGGGAGGCUAUGAUAGUAUUUUUGUGGAAAUACUGGAGCCAAUGGUGAGAUACCACUCUAGAAAAGCUAGAAUUCUAACUUUGCAAGCCGUUAACCGGCCAAAGAACAGUUCUAGGUGGGCAGUUUGACUGGGGCGGUCGCCUCCUAAAAGGUAACGGAGGCGUGCAAAGGUUUUCUCAGGCUGGUCGGAAAUCAGCUGUAGAGUAUAAAGGCUAAAGAAAGCUUGACUGCAAGACUUACAAGUCGAGCAGAGACGAAAGUCGGCCUUAGUGAUCCGGCGGUACUGAGUGGAAAGGCCGUCGCUCAACGGAUAAAAGUUA